AUGGGCCUCCUGCUCGACGGCACCGUCGUCGCCAUCAAGCGCCGCGUCGGCGCGCCGCGCCAAGACUUCGUCGACGAGGUGAGGAGGCAGUCGGAGAUCUGGCACCGGAACAUGGUGACCCUCAUCGGCUACUGCCAGGACGGGGGUCUGCAGAUGCUCGUCUUCGAGCACCUGCCCAACGGCAGCGUCCUCAGACCCCCAAAUCCCCCCUCAAUUGGUGGGCAAGUGCUUUCAUUGUUUCUCCCCACUUCACAGAGCCAAGGCAGUAGGCACUAG
rnacentral:rRNA from 1 species